UGCUGUCUAUGACGACCUGUUCCUAAACCCCCAGGGCUGAACAGGUCUGAUGUUCUUCAGCA
rfam:Branchiostoma floridae genomic scaffold BRAFLscaffold_167, whole genome shotgun sequence.